UGAAUCAAACUGUGGUUGCUGAUUUGUCA
rnacentral:piRNA from 1 species